rnacentral:rRNA from 1 species
GGGGAAUAUUGGGCAAUGGGCGAAAGCCUGACCCAGCAACGCCGCGUGAAGGAAGAAGGCUCUCGGGUUGUAAACUUCUUUUAAGAGGGACGAAACAAAUGACGGUACCUCUUGAAUAAGCCACGGCUAACUACGUGCCAGCAGCCGCGGUAAUACGUAGGUGGCAAGCGUUAUCCGGAAUUACUGGGUGUAAAGGGCGUGUAGGCGGGACUGCAAGUCAGAUGUGAAAACCAUGGGCUCAACCUAUGGCCUGCAUUUGAAACUGUGGGUCUUGAGUGAUGGAGAGGCAGGCGGAAUUCCCUGUGUAGCGGUGAAAUGCGUAGAUAUAGGGAGGAACACCAGUGGCGAAGGCGGCCUGCUGGACAUUAACUGACGCUGAGGCGCGAAAGCGGGGGUAGCAAAC